rnacentral:rRNA from 1 species
CGAACGCGUUGGCCCAACUGAUUGAACGUGCUUGCACGGACUUGACGUUGGUUUACCAGCGAGUGGCGGACGGUGAGUAACACGUAGGUAACCUGCCCCAAAGCGGGGGAUAACAUUUGGAAACAGAUGCUAAUACCGCAUAACAAUUUGAAUCGCAUGAUUCAAAUUUAAAAGAUGGCUUCGGCUAUCACUUUGGGAUGGACCUGCGGCGCAUUAGCUUGUUGGUAGGGUAACGGCCUACCAAGGCUGUGAUGCGUAGCCGAGUUGAGAGACUGAUCGGCCACAAUGGAACUGAGACACGGUCCAUACUCCUACGGGAGGCAGCAGUAGGGAAUCUUCCACAAUGGGCGCAAGCCUGAUGGAGCAACACCGCGUGAGUGAAGAAGGGUUUCGGCUCGUAAAGCUCUGUUGUUAGAGAAGAACGUGCGUGAGAGCAACUGUUCACGCAGUGACGGUAUCUAACCAGAAAGUCACGGCUAACUACGUG